rnacentral:lncRNA from 1 species
GUUAAACAUUGAAACAUAAGUUGUUUACUACCGCCAAACAAAUUUUGUCAUGCAGAUUUAAUGAAAUUAUUUGAUUUUUACCCCUUAUAUCAUUGCGUCGUACUAUGUACUUGGCAGAUAGCAUAGCCUAAUGUAAGCACUGCAGAGACUCACAAAAGUACCAUUUAUUAUUCCAAAUGAAGUUUUUAUAUCUUAAAUUUUAUUAACUGAUGUAAAUAAACACAGUUAAAUGACCA